rnacentral:rRNA from 1 species
GUCGGAACGUGCCUAGAGGACGGGGAUAGCGGCGGGAAACUGCCGGUAAUACCCGAUGAUCUCGAGAGAGCAAAGGUGUGAUUCCGCCUUUGGAGCGGCCGACAUGGUAUUAGCUAGUUGGUGAGGUAACGGCCCACCAAGGCUGUGAUGCCUAGGGGAUGUGAGAGCAUGAUCCCCACCAUUGGGACUGAGACACUGCCCAGACACCUACGGGUGGCUGCAGUCGAGAAUCUUCGUCAAUGGGCGAAAGCCUGAACGAGCGACGCCGCGUGCGGGAUGAAGGCCCUUGGGUUGUAAACCGCUGUCGAGGGGGAUGAAGGCUUGAAGGUACUCCUUCAAGUUUGACAGAGCCCUGGAGGAAGCACGGGCUAAGUUCGUGCCAGCAGCCGCGGUAAUACGAACUGUGCGAACGUUAUUCGGAAUCACUGGGCUUACAGGGUGCGUAGGCGGCCGAACAAGUCAGGUGUGAAAGCCCUCGGCUCAACCGAGGAACUGCGCUUGAAACUGUUUGGCUC